UUCUCUUAUCGGUCAAUUCAGUAAACUCAUUCUCUAAUGAGCUCCCAUAUCCUUGUAUUAGUGUCACCACACAAGUGGUUGUGAGAUCAACCACUCUCAUUUCUGAGCAUACAUAGGAUAUGUCAGUCUUACCGGUAUCAUUGAUCUCCGACUCAAUGUACCAACGACUAAGAAUAUUUUAGAUUAGGGCUAUCAAGAAUUUAGAUCUCAUUGACGUGAUCUCAUCAUGGCUCUAAAAUCAUUGUCUGGACCUAUGGGGUUCAUUAUAAUCUUAAGAACAAUAAGAUAUAGCAUAU
rnacentral:lncRNA from 1 species